GUUGUGGUGCAUAGACCCAGAGUAUAGACAAAAUCUAAUUCAGGCUUUGAAAAAGACACCUUAUCACCCACACCCACACGUGUUCAAUACACCUCCCACCUGUCCUCAGGCAUAUCAAAGCACAUCAGGUCCACCCAUCUGGCCGGGCAGUACCUUCUUCAAGAGAAAUGGAGCCCUUCUCCAAGAUGGAGUCGCACUCUUGUUGCCCAGGCUGAAAUGCAAUGGCGUGAUCUUGGCUCACUGCAACCUCUACAUCCCGGGUUCAAGCAAGAUUCUCCUGCCUCAGCCUCUCGAGGAGCUGGGACUACAGGUGCUCGCCACCAUGCCCGGCUGAUUUUUGUAUUUUUUAGUAGAGACAGGGUUUCACCAUGUUGGUCAGGCUGGUCUCAAACUCCCGACUUCAGGUGAUCCCCCCACCUCGGCCUCCCAAAGUGCUGGGAUUACAGGUGUGAGGCACCACCCUGGCAAUUACAUGGUAAAUUGUUUGGGAAAAUUCACUGAGCUGUACACAUACAAGGACUUUGCUGGACAUACGUUAUUCCAAUAGAAAGUUUCAAAAAUGAUUGGGCAGCUGCAAUUUCAUUACACCUAUUUGAUUUCAGAUUUUUAUUAUGUACAUGUAGUGAACCUCAGAAUUCUUACAUG
rnacentral:sRNA from 1 species